UUGAUUUGCCCAACUAACUAUUUUAAUUAUUUUGUCAGGUUGCUGCAGGCCAUUAGCAUUGACCGUGCAUAUAUGCAGAUAUUUAUUCAUGGUGGAUUAUAGUUAAAUUUAUUUAUCUUCCUGAACUCCAAGCAUGGAUAACAACUACCUGAAUUGAUUGUGGAUAACCUUCAACAGCUAUACCACUCAAACAGUUUAAAUGAUAUUCUGGAUAAUAUAUACAGUUAAAAAUAAGUAAAAACAGUGCUAUACAGACAGUAUUGUGAGGAAUGUGAUUUUUAUAAUGCAUUUUGGUUUUUCGAUUUUUUUUAUUUUUUUUAUUAUUGUUAUAAUAAAUAAAUUUUAGUCUUUA